rnacentral:rRNA from 1 species
UCGAGAAUCUUCGGCAAUGGACGCAAGUCUGACCGAGCGACGCCGCGUGCGGGAUGAAGGCCUUCGGGUUGUAAACCGCUGUCAGUGGGGAGGAAGGCUUCGUGAAGAGCGAGGUUUGACCUAUCCGCAGAGGAAGUGAGGGCUAAGCUCGUGCCAGCAGCCGCGGUAAGACGAGCCUCACAAACGUUAUUCGGAAUUACUGGGCUUAAAGGGUGCGUAGGCGGCGCGGAAAGUUGGGUGUGAAAUCCCUCGGCUCAACCGAGGAAUUGCGCUCAAAACUACCGUGCUCGAGGGAGAUAGAGGAAUGCGGAACUUACGGUGGAGCGGUGAAAUGCGUUGAUAUCGUAGGGAACACCGGUGGCGAAAGCGGCAUUCUGGAUCUCUUCUGACGCUGAUGCAC